UGAGGAAUAUUGGGCAAUGCCCCCAAGGGUGACCCAGCAACGCCGCGUGGAGGAUGAAUGUCGUAAGAUUGUAAACUCCUGUUAGAAGGGAAGAAUAGUACCGGUUGGACCGGUAUAUGACUGUACCCUCAGAGAAAGCCCCGGCUAACUACGUGCCAGCAGCCGCGGUAAUACGUAGGGGGCAAGCGUUGUCCGGAUUUACUGGGUGUAAAGGGCGCGCAGGCGGGAUAAAAAGUCAGUGGUGAAAUCCUACAGCUUAACUGUAGAACUGCCUUUGAUACUUUUAUUCUUGAGUUCGGGAGAGAGAGACGGAAUUCCAGGUGUAGUGGUGAAAUACGUAGAUAUCUGGAAGAACACCAGUUGCGAAGGCGGUCUCUUGGUCCGACACUGACGCUGAGGCGCGAAAGCGUGGGGAGCAAACA
rnacentral:rRNA from 1 species